GACGAACGCUGGCGGCGUGCUUAACACAUGCAAGUCGAACGAUGAAGCCAGCUUGCUGGUGGAUUAGUGGCGAACGGGUGAGUAACACGUGGGUGAUCUGCCCCAAACUUUGGGAUAAGCCUGGGAAACUGGGUCUAAUACCGAAUAUGACCGAUACUCGCAUGGGUGUUGGUGGAAAGCUCCGGCGGUUUGGGAUGGGCCCGCGGCCUAUCAGCUUGUUGGUGGGGUAAUGGCCUACCAAGGCGACGACGGGUAGCCGGCCUGAGAGGGCGACCGGCCACACUGGGACUGAGACACGGCCCAGACUCCUACGGGAGGCAGCAGUGGGGAAUAUUGCACAAUGGGCGCAAGCCUGAUGCAGCGACGCCGCGUGAGGGAUGACGGCCCUCGGGUUGUAAACCUCUUUCACCAGGGACGAAGCGAAAGUGACGGUACCUGGAGAAGAAGCACCGGCCAACUACGUG
rnacentral:rRNA from 1 species